AGAAAUUAGGUAGCUGUUCUCUUUUUCUAAUAUCCAUCUAGUUGAUUCUUCUGAACAGGGACCGUAGUCUGAACUUGGCUUGAGCGUCAAGCCAAUCUGGAUGGCCAUGUAAAGCCAAUGGAGGCCAAUCUGGAUUGACGCUCAAGCCAAGUUCAGACUUCGGCCCCAGGUUGCAGCAAAUACGUAGUAGUUUGUUGUUUCCGUGAUGCAAAUAUAAGUGUUUUGUACGCGUAUUGUUUGAUCGACAAUGUAUUGACAUUUCGAUCCUGGUGGGAGAGGGUCGUCAUUUGAAACUUAACUGUACGUUAUUAAAGGAUUUCUGCUUCCAGACUCUUCCCCAGGCGUAAGAAAUGCUGUAGAGGCGAAUCCAAAGUUGUUUGUCUUGGAAAUGGGUGUUGAAAAGAAAGUGGGCUUCUUGAAGAAGAGAACGUUGUGACCUGGACUUAUACAGUUCUCUGUAGUCUUCACAUACUGUUGAAGCAAGGAAAUGUCAGGUAUGUCAGGGGUAUUCCAAUUACUUUAUAUCCGACUGCUACAAGAUCUUUAUCCGCCUUAUUGAAGAAGGAUAUCUCUAGCUGUCAAUUGUCGUCAUAGAGGCGACUGAAGUUGUUGUUUUCUGGUGAACGAUGAAUCUCGAGGUAACCAUUUCCUUUUAGUAAAGUUUGGGAAUACGAAUUGCUUGUUGUUCUUUUACCCCACACAUUGAUGUUCUGAUAAAGGGUGAACUGGCCUUCCUGUUGAGUUGUGUGUAAUAAACCGAAUGGGCUCUCGACCGGUUGGUCAGGUUUUUCCUGACGUAGCGUUACUUGUUCUGCUAUACAGUUGAGAGUAUGGUACUCCUUGUUGCGUACCAUUUCCUUUCACCUGUAGGGGUGGCAGUGAAACUGAGCCCAUUUGGUCCAACCUGCAUGUUGUUUUCACCACAUUUUUUUAUCGUUUACCAUUUGCCAGCAUUCCAGAGGUGUUAUUAGUUUUAUUUCUUGAGAGUACACGGUGUCGAAGGAUCCAA